UAAUAAAAGAAACGAGACAGCAACAGCAGGCGGAGAAAAACAAACAAGGAUAGGGCUGAGGCAGUGAAGCACCAAGAUCUGUUUGCAUUAUUGAUGGCCUGGAUUAUCUUUGAGUGACAACUAUAUGUGCAAGUUACGAGCGUGCCAUUUCAAAGGCUUUACUCGAGCAUUAAGACAAUGCCUGGCCCAAAAUCGAUAAGCCACGAAUGGUCAAGUUGACGCUGCUGCUGGCUGCUCUAGCUACAGAGCAACUUGCAAUCCACUUCACUCCGUUGCGCUACCAAUUCCAAUCACAGUCCCGGGCGAGUUGACCAAAGUCAGGCGGCGCCAUGCGAUGCUUUUUAUCUUAAUCUGCUGCAAAUGGACAUUAAAUGCUAUUUCUUUAGAUUUAUUCAAACAACAACUACAGCAAGAACAACUGCAACAAUGUGGCGAGCAGCAACGGCAACAGCAGCAACAGCAACAGCAACAACAACCAACAUAACGACAGAUUGGCACGAGCGGGCAGCCAAGUGGCAAUUUGUGGCUUUGCACGGCAAACCGACAUCAUCAGCGUUGGAUAAAACAAAGGCCACACGGACAGUAAGCCAGCCAG